rnacentral:piRNA from 1 species
UGGGAAGGCUGAAUCACUUUGCGUUUGGGA